rnacentral:rRNA from 1 species
GUGGCGACGAUGCGUAGGGGUUCUGAGAGGAAGGUCCCCCACACUGGUACUGAGACACGGACCAGACUCCUACGGGAGGCAGCAGUGAGGAAUAUUGGUCAAUGGGAGAGAUCCUGAACCAGCCAAGCCGCGUGAGGGAAGACGGCCCUAUGGGUUGUAAACCUCUUUUGUCGGAGAACAAAACCCGGGACGAGUCCCGGACUGCGUGUAUCCGAAGAAAAAGCAUCGGCUAACUCCGUGCCAGCAGCCGCGGUAAUACGGAGGAUGCGAGCGUUAUCCGGAUUUAUUGGGUUUAAAGGGUGCGUAGGCGGUCUGUUAAGUCAGCGGUAAAAUUGCGGGGCUCAACCCCGUCGAGCCGUUGAAACUGGCAGACUUGAGUUGGCGAGAAGUACGCGGAAUGCGCGGUGUAGCGGUGAAAUGCAUAGAUAUCGCGCAGAACUCCGAUUGCGAAGGCAGCGUACCGGCGCCAGACUGACGCUGAGGCACGAAAGCGUGGGGAUCGAACAGGAUUAGAUACCCUGGUAGUCCACGCAGUAAACGAUGAAUGCUGGUUGUCCGGGUCGAAUGAGAUCUGG